GACGAACGCUGGCGGCGUGCUUAACACAUGCAAGUCGAGCGGUAAGGCCCCUUUUGGGGGGUACACGAGCGGCGAACGGGUGAGUAACACGUGGGUGACCUGCCUUCAGCUCUGGGAUAAGCUUGGGAAACUGGGUCUAAUACCGGAUAUGACCUUGGGGUGCAUGCCUUGGGGGUGGAAAGCUUGGUUGUAAUGACUUGGCGGCUGGAGAUGGGCCUGCGGCCUAUCAGCUUGUUGGNGGGGUGAUGGCCUACCAAGGCAAAGACGGGUAGCUGGUCUGAGAGGAUGAUCAGCCACACUGGAACUGAGACACGGUCCAGACUCCUACGGGAGGCAGCAGUGGGGAAUCUUGCGCAAUGGGCGAAAGCCUGACGCAGCGACGCCGCGUGAGUGAUGAAGGCC
rnacentral:rRNA from 1 species